UACGUAGGGUGCAAGCGUUGUCCGGAAUCAUUGGGCGUAAAGCGCGCGUAGGCGGCCCGAUAAGUCCGUUGUGAAAGUCAAAGGCUCAACCUUUGAAUGCCGAUGGAUACUGUCGGGCUAGAGUCCGGAAGAGGCGAGUGGAAUUCCUGGUGUAGCGGUGGAAUGCGCAGAUAUCAGGAGGAACACCAAUAGCGAAGGCAGCUCGCUGGGACGGUACUGACGCUAAGGCGCGAAAGCGUGGGGAGCGAACAGG
rnacentral:rRNA from 1 species